GACGAACCGUGCGAACGUUAUUCGGAAUCACUGGGCUUAAAGCGCGUGUAGGCGGCCCGGCACGUCAGUCGCUGAAAUCCCCCGGCUCAACCGGGGAAGUGGCGUUGAUACGACCGGGCUGGAGGGGGGUAGGGGGGACGGGAACUCACGGUGGAGCGGUGAAAUGCGUUGAGAUCGUGAGGAACGCCCGCGGCGAAAGCGCGUCCCUGGACCCCACCUGACGCUGAGACGCGAAAGCCAGGGGAGCGAACGGG
rnacentral:rRNA from 2 species